AUAACUCAAUGUGAAUUAAUCUGUGAGACUAUGAUUACUAU
rnacentral:guide_RNA from 1 species